AAUACUCCCCUGAGCAACCCAUUAUAUUUGAUUUGGGACUUAGGCACACCAUAAUACCCAAGUUUAUCAUAGCACCGCCCCUACGAGAUGACGUCCUACCUAUUAAACUCUACAAUGCUUUAUUCGACCUUUCCAGUGAUCCCUUCCGCACCCUUUUCUGAGAUACCAGCAACCUUGAUACCAAUUGAUAAAUAUCAAAGCACUUUGAAAACCCUCCCUUAAAAGUUAGCUAUCAAGGGUAGAACCAACCCACUUAAAUACGCUAUGGAGCAUCCCAAUCACAUACCUCAUAAUUCUCUGUUAAGUUUGGCUGCUGGAAGUGAAACUAACUGUUUGCGCAGGGUUUGUUAGGCAUGCAUAAUUUAAGGUUACAUCGGCUGUAGUACUACUUUUUUUUUCCUUGUUCAUUUAGUUUGGUAUUUCCACUACCCUUAUUAGCUGUUCUGUUACCUGCUGUCAUAAUUAGAGUUUGUCAUUGAUUUUGAAAUGCCGGUUUCUUUUAUUUGUUACCAACUUAUUAUACAUUCUUAAUGGUAUGUUGUUUGCUUUGCUUAUUAAAUUGUGUCUAGCACUUCUGUGUUCCAAUUUUAACUAGAUGAACAGAAGUGCAAAUUGAACAAAUCAAUAGAUCAUGUUGCUACUCCUAAAAAUUGGCAACUAACUACUCCUAACUUUUCUUUUUCUUUUGAUUUCAAAUGGCAGAUGUCAGAUAUUUAGAUUAGAUAGUGUUGCAAUGCUUGUCAAGUUGAUUCUUUUGAAGCUUCCAGAUUAUGGAUCUGAAUUUGGCAUUUGGUUUGCAGAGAAAGCUUCUGAAGGCGACUAUGAUCUCCUAAUGUGCAGAGAAUCUUUUUCUCUCAUUUCAUAAAACUGUUGAUCCGUUGCAAUUUAUGUGGCCUUAUUUGCGAAAGCACGCACUUGUAUAAUAUUUUGUAGAAUGUGAAGAUAACUAGAUAGUUUUUUGUAGGAGUGUACAUCGCUAACUACUGUUAACUACUUACUACUCGUGAAGUUCCAUUGAUGAAUUGUUAUUUUGUGCUAGCAGAUUCAGGAUUCUAGGUGUUAUAUCAAAGUAAAAUUGUAAUUCCAAGUUCUUCAAGUCAUUAUUGGUUUACAUGAAAUCUUAUUCUGUACAGUAGCAUGAAUGUUGCAUCAAUUUUGUUGGUAAUGAGUAGUGACCUGGGGAGGGACGUUGCGGGUAGGAGUAUUAGACCAUCCCCGAUGGAAAGUCUCAAUUGUUACUUGUCCAGUUUCCCAAUUGGUUUCGUCGAUAUGUGACACGUGGUAAAUUUGUUUUCAACGGAUCAGAUUACAAAAUAAUAUCAGUGCUCUAUGAUGCUCCAUAGUGCUCUUCCAUCCCCCUCUCUCAGUUUCGACGUUGCUCUCCCUCUUCUCUCUUCUUCUCCGACACACUGUUGUUAGCUGUAUCAACCAUGCUCAACCACACUUCUCUAUUUCAACAAUGCCUCGUUUCACUGUUUUGAUCAUAAGAUUUUUUUUUUUAAAUCAUUUCUACAAAAUCUAUUCACAAAUCUUUGAAAAGGGUAAAUGGCAAAAACGACGGCGAUUUGUAGAAGCGAUUGUGUCGAUCGGAAAUCGGAGCAGAUCCGGAUUUCAAACACCAAAUGAUCACUCUUUCUCUCGUCAGAAAAGCAACAAUACAUUUCGGAGUCCGUAUUGGAGGUGGAGCGGCGGAGCGCCAUUGAAACGGGUAAAAGGGAGAAGAACGAUGCAACACUAUUGAAAUAGAAACGAGGAAGAAUAGCGGAGAAGGUGGUGGCGUAGUGGAGGAGCGGUGGAGGAUUGAACAGAGAAGAGGGUAAAGAAGAAGAUUGGGUAACGAAAAGAGGAAAGCUAAUUGUUGUUUCUUUUCAUUUUUUAAGGAACACUGAUUUUGUUUUUAAAUCUGAACCUUUAAAAUCAUUUUUGCCACGUGUCAUACAUCGGUGAAGUAAACAGGAAAACUGGAGCAGAUCCGCACUCCCAUUGGGGAGGAAAUUUUUUGGGAACUUAAAAUCUAAGAUCUCACUUAAAACUCAAUGUUAAGUGGACCUUAUAUUUUUAAAUAUUAAAAAAAUUGAAAUGUAAUGACUUUUUUUUUUUUGUGAUGUUCGAAAUUCGAUCCCAAACCUUGCAUAUAUUAUAUUAUGCAUUGUAAUGAUAUCUUUAUAUAUAUAAAGAGGCUUUAGUCUGCGUCUCCAAUUUGCCUCCAAAAUCAAUUUAUUAAGUAAGGACGUUUUUGUAAUUCACAUUCUACAACUCUAACUUUCCUCCCAAAUCCAAUCAAUUAAAUAAUGGUAUUAUUGAAAUUUUGUAUGUCAUGUCCGGUCUUUUUAACAUGGUGGUAUUUUGAUAAAUAGAUACAAAUAUCAAUCUUAUUAUUUGUGACAAACAUGCAUUUUGGUAAAUAGAUACUCUUAAAUUGAGGUUGUGUGUUGUGUCUUAUUAUAGAUCGUUUUUACAUUUUACUUAUUGAUUUUUUUAUAUAUUUUUCUAGCAUUGAUUUAAAUAAAUAAUAAUUGAGAUAGUAUGUGUUGUGUUUUAAGAUGAACUUUUGAUUAAUAUUUUUGUGAUCUAUAUAAUUGAGGUGGUAUGCUGUAUGCGUUGUGUUACUAGCAUUUUUCAGACCAGUAAUAAAAAUAGAAAGAAAGAAAAAAGUAAAAUAAUGUACAACAUAUUUUUUUAUCAGAGAUAUUUUACAGUGAUAUUAAGUAAAAAUUCAUAACUUAACAUUCUAACUAUAGAUGUAACUAUUAAGAAUCCAAGUUACUCCAUAAAUGUUGAUUUUUUUUUUUUAUACACAACAAAAAGCUAUUUGUAUAAAAUUUGAUGUUGAAUCAUACAUAACAAAACUUCAGUUUUAAAGAACCAAAUUUUACAAUACCUUAAAAUUUGAGAUUAAAUUUGAGAUAUGUUUUGUCCCCCUCCAAAAAAAAACCAAAAUCAAAAUAUAAUAUUUUUCUAUAAAAAUUUGAAUUUAAAUUGUAUGAUUUUUUUUGGUUUCAUAUCUAAAUGAAAAAAAAAAAAAAGGUAAGUUGUUAAAAGUAAAAAAAAAAAACUUUUAUAAAAUCUUUUAAAUAUGUGGAGAGAGAGCUAGAUCAGCUACUAUAAUUGGUCCAAAGUGUUUUAACAAUAAAUGUAACAUUAUUUUUUUUUAAAAAAACUAUUUCUUUAAAUGAUAUUAUGGAUUUAAAAUAUCCAAAGGUUUGUUGAAACUAUUAUUUUAGUCAUCUGUUUAUAUUGCACAUGUGCAUAUCAUAAUUAACUAUAUAUAUGCUACUUUAUAAUUAAUUACGAAAAUAAUUGAAACUUAAUCUAACAGGUUUGAUUAACUUAAAAUAUAAAAAGAGUGAUAAUAUAUAUAUAUAAUUAUUUUUAGAACAUACAUAUAUAAAUCAAAAAUCUUAAAACAUCUUUCAAGUUGAGACUUUCACUUUGUAGCGGUGCUUUGCUCUAGAUUUGAUGUUCCUCGGACAAAUAUUCCAUUGCACUGCCAUGAUUGACAUAUUACAUGUUAUGAAGUAUUCGAUUAUGGCCGGCAGUGAGUUCUUUGAACCACGUACAACAACGUAUUGUUUAUAUCAACUAAAUUAUGUUCAUGGAGACAAGUUGUUUGAGUUAUGUGCAACAUUAUUUAACCACUUGGUAAUUAUAUCAUAUACUGCCCCUAAAAAUUUUCAUAUCAUGUUCCAGAAAGUUUCAAUAAUUAUGAAAAAAUAAAAUAGCUAUUAUAAUUUUUUUUUUAUCAUGUAUUAACAAGAAAAUAUUAUAACAUUUUAUAAGUAUGAAAAAAUGAAAUAAAUAUUAUAAUUUAGAUUAUGUACAAUAUUACAUAUUUACUCUAAAAAAAUAUUAUAUAUCUACUUUUUCUCUGUUGAAUAUAUUUUUACUAUGUACUUAGAAAUAACUGUAUAGUAGUCACACGUACGUAGCACGGGAUUGAGUAUCUAGUAAUUAUUGAUAGUUGAUUAGUGCUAUUCUCACAACAAACAUUGCUCUGUUUCAACUGAUAUGAUAAAAGUACCUCCAUACGACUUAAGUUACGUGGAAGCAUUUUCGUCAGAUUGGAUAUGAAUGGGUGAUUUUGGAUGUGAGAAGAGCAAUUUUCUCAACCUAAUGUUACAUAACUUUUUUGAUAACAAACUAUCUUUUAGAUGAACUCUUUUCUCCAAAUUUUCUCAUAACAAUUUAAUAUUUUUUCAAUUUUUUUUUUUUUUAUUAUGAUUUGAACUCCGGACCUUGCUUAUAUUAUGCAUUGUCUCUACCAACUGAGUUAAGUUUACAAAGAAAACAAAAGGAACAAACAAGAAAGAAAAAAACAAGCUAACUAUUUUCUAAGGAAGAAAGUGUCAGCGAUAGGCAUGGCAACAAAACCCGUGCCCAUGGGUACCCGCCCAAACCAACCCCAAUUUGACGGGCAAACAAGAGAGUUAGAAUAACAAACUAGCUCCGCAUAACGCAAAUCUAUGGCCAUGAUCAGACCAUGAUAGAUAGUUAAAAGCUCAACAAACAUGAUACCAUAUGGAGUUUGGAAUUAAUAAGCUUUAUAAUAGUUUACUAGCAAGAAGGAGACAUCACAUUUUGGCAAGUGUUAUAAUAUUUUACAAGCUUUUAACACAGAUACCCAAAAAAUCAAAUGUUGUAAUGCGUCAUUCCUGCUUCAUGCACUAAUCUCUUAUUGAUGUUAGUAGGUAGCAUUAUGUAAAACUAACAACUUUCCAAAGACCUUAGUGAGAGUGCGUAUUUACUGUCAGGGACCUAACUAAUAGUAAGUAUGCACAAUCAGCGACCUAACAGUAAGUUGGUUUUUAAUGGAAGAUUGACUUUGAACAAAAGAGAGAAUUAGAUGUCAUAUAAGGAUUUAGGGAUUUGAGAUUCAAUUGGGGAAUAUUAAUUUUUGGUUCAGGAGAACCAAAGUGACCAUUUUCUAAUUUCACAUUAGUUCAUAUGACACAUCAUAUGUCAUGUCAUCAUAAAACAUCUGUCACGCCAUCACUUAACAUAAUUAUUUAACGUUAAAGACUAAAGUGAACGGAAGUGCACAAAGACUUCUUUGUAUCAAAUACUGAGUCAGAGACCUAUGUGACAACGAGCUGCAAAGUCAGAGUUUAAAGUUACCAUUUGUUCGUUAAACAAUAUAGGGUUAAUAGUGUUUUUCACCCUUGUAAUAUAUGUCAUUUUCGAUUUGAUUUUCACCCUCGUAAAAUUUUUAUUUUCCGGAAAACACCCUUAAUAGGCCAUUCGAAAACCAAAAUUUUUUGAAAAAAAAUUCUGAAAAAUGGCCUAUUAGGGGUGUUUUCCGGAAAAUAAAAAUUUUACGAGGGUGCAAGUCAAACUGAAAAUUUUAUAGGGGCGAAAACUGGAAAUGACAUAUAUUACAGGGGUGAAAAACACUCUUAACCCAACAUAUACACUCGAGUAAAUAGUCAAUUACCCCCCCUGAAAUUGUAGCUUUCAUCAAAAGCCCCCCUGAAUUUUGCAAAACCCCAUGAAAUUGUCAAACUUUAGUCAAAUAUCCCAUCCGUUAAUUUCCUCCAUCCAACAUGCUGACAUGACUGUUAACUGCCACAUGAUCAAAAAAGUCAUGCCACAUCACGGGGGGGGGGGGGUAAUUGACUAUAUUUUUAUUUUAUUUCUUUUAAAAAUCAGGUUUUUUUUUAAAAAAAUGACUUUUUUUUUUCUUUUCAAAAUUAACAUUUGUGCCACCCACUCACUUUGUAAAUACCCCCUGAAAUUUAACAUUUACGUGCAUAUACCCUCCUCAAAUUUAAAAUUUAUAUAUCAAAUGCAUCCUCAAAUUUACUCCAUCUGUUUUUAAAUGUAACUGUAUUGAUGUUUCAUAUUGAGGAAUCACUGUAUUGAUGUUUCAUAUUGAGGAAUCAUUAUAUUAACAGAGUUACGUGAUUAGGCAAACAUUUUACUCCAUUUGUUUUUAAGUGUAACUCUAUUGAUGUUUCAUAUUGAGGAAUCAUUAUAUUAACCUUUUACAAUAAAAACUACAUUGAUCUUUCAUUUUAGUUAGUUUAAUUGCUCAUAUGGAUAAUCUCAUAUUUAUAAAGGUUUAUUUUAUAUUGUGAGAGUAAAUCAAGUAUAAUGUUACUGUGACUGUAUUUCGCAGCUUAUGUCAUGCCAAUGUGAAAUUCUGAUUUGUUGCUGAUAUCAUACAUGCAUACAUAAUCAGAAUUAGUUAUGACAUUGUACUUUAUGAAGCAAACAUAAUGAUAAACAUAGAUUCAUGCCUAGGCAAACCAUGCUUCAAUAAAGGCUGUGCCAAUCUAAGCAUUUAGAUAUACGUGUAUGAACCCUUAUGGGAAGCUAAAGAUAUUAAUGCAUUGUCUACAAGAAUGUUUUUUUUUUUUUAUGAAGCUGAAGAUAUUAUCGUCGCAAACUAUGUUUUUAAAUUUUUUAUAAAUUGUUCAACACAAGAAUUUAUUCAAUUCAGUUGCUAUCUUUUCCAUACGCGUUUGUUCAUCACAAUUUGCGACUUCUGAUGUAUAUCCAUUAAGAAAUACCUUAAGUUUUAUUCUUGAAAUCUCCCGCUGAUAGUUAGAGUAAGAAAAUUUAAUCAUGUAGUUCAAACUUUAGGAAAUGGCAACUUUGGUCUUUGCAAGCUAUUUAUAUUUGUACUCUUUUAGGUGAGUAUCAAAUAUAUAGUCACUUUAGGAAGCCAUUUCAUAGAAUAUUGACCAAGUGUUUUGUCAUAAGUCUUAAAAAAAAAAGUUGGACUUGCACGUUUUUUGUCCUUUUUUUUUUUUUUUGGUACAAAGUAUUUUGCCAUGUUAAUUUUUCUUAAUUAGCAUGCCUUAAUUUUAUAGAGAACAAAGUAGAAUUGUUCAUAGGGUCCAUACAUGUGGCAACAUUUCUUGCAUUCAAUUAACCAAUCAAUUUGUCAGACAAAGUAUUUACGUACUCCUAUUUUUGCUGGUUAAGUUUAAAAUAUUCCUUAAUAGUAGUACAAUAUUGGGAGUUUAAAUUUGAGGAGGUAUUUGUCACAUAAAUUUUAAAUUUAAGAGGGGAUAUAUGCACACAAAUGUUAAAUUUCAGGGGAUAUUUGUAAGGUGAAUGGAUGACACAAAUGUUAAAUUUGAAAAGACAAAAAAAUCAAUUUUUAAAAAUAAAAAAAUAAAAAAAUAUAGUCAAUUACCCCUGUGACGUGGCAUGACUUUUUUGAUCAUGUGACGGUUAACGACCAUGUCAGCAUGUUGGAUGGAGGAAAUUAACGGAGGGGGUAUUUGACUGACGUUUGAUAAUUUCAGAGGAUUUUUGAAAUUUUGCAAAAUUCAAAUUUUUUUUUUGACAAAAACUACAAUUUCAAAAGGAUAAUUGACUAUUUACUCGUAUACACUCCAAUCGCCUUAUCGGCGCAUGAGGACUCUUUUCCGGGAACUACUCCUCUCGAAUAUAAUCCUUCCAAGCAAGUAUACCCCACACAAUCAAAUUUCAACGCCACAAAAACCUCUCUCCCAUCGAAGUCGCGCGUGACCAACAACAGCCUAACCAACGUCACUUCAUUCGUGCGAUUGUCACACGCUCGAAACAAUCGCGUGAAUCCGAAAACCCAAAGUUUUGCGCUAUUAUACUUCUCGUGUUAGAUUUUGCGGUACACCCUCAAACGCGUUUUCACCGAUCCACACGGACGAUACACCGUUUGUAGAGAGAGAAAUACCGAUAAUUCUAGAGAGAGAAAGCUCGUUUCGAUUCUAGAGAAGAGAGAGAGAGAGAGUGUUCGAGAUCUGAUACAGAGUGAAGGUAACUCUACUCUGCGUGUUUCAUUCUUCUUGUUUUUUUUUUUUUUUUCGAUUUUUUUUGUUGAAAUUGAUCGGUGAAAAACCCUAAAAUUUUCUGAUUCUUCUUCACGGGGUUUGAUUUGUUCAAUUUUGGUUCAAUUAAACCCUAGAUUUGAAUUCUAAAAUUUUCUAGGGUUUGGAGUUGUUUUUUGGUGAGGGAAAAUUAGAAUUAGGGUUUUGAAUGAAUGGAUUCGGGGACUGUAGUUGAAGAUAAGGUAGUUAGAGAGAUACAGAGAUACUCGGAGGGGAAAGUAUACACGAGAAAAGUUUUCAAAGUUUCAGAGGAUAAAGUUAAUUCCUUGAAAGUUGAUCAUUCAGAGGAUAAAGUUAAUUCCUUGAAAGUUGAUCCUCAUACUCAUUCUGGUGCUACCACCGCCACCGUCACUGUUGAUGGGACGAAGGAUAACGGGAAUAAUGUUUCGGCUCAACAGUUGGAUAGUGUUUUGGUUCCAGAGGAUGGGAAUUCGGCUCUGCCAGUUGUGAAUUCUAGGUUGGAAGUGGUUUCUGAAGAUUCGUCCAGUUUGUAUCGUAAGCAAGAUGAGCAUUUUAGUCUUGAUGUUGUUCAGCUGGAAGAUGGUAAUGAUUUGUUUGAACCAGCUUUAAGAUGUAAUGAUAAGAAGGAGUUGGAGAAUGGUGUUAAGAAUGGACUGGCUUCACGGUCGAAGCAAGAGAUGCGGGAGAUUAAGAGGAAGCUUGAGGGCGACCUUGAAACGGUGAGGUCUUUGGUGAUUAGGAUUGAAGAGAAACAACGGAUGGCUGGGAGGUUUGGUGGUGGUUUGAAUGUGUCUGUGGAUCGGUAUAGGGUUGAUAAUGGGAGUGGAGCUAAGCGCGCUCACUCUGAGGUAGCUUCUGCAGGUGUUCCAAGAGAGGCUAAUAGGUUUACACGCCAGUUAAGUGUAAUGGUGUUAGAGAAUGGUCACGGGAUUAGUGAAAGCGUUGAGAAGGAGAAGAGAACACCGAAGGCGAACCAGUUCUAUUCCAAUUCGGAAUUCUUGCUUGCGAAAGAUAAGUUUCCGCCUGCAGAGAGUAACAAGAAGUCAAAAUCACAUGGAAAGAAGCAUGGCGUUGGAGAAAUGGGACAUGGAUUUGGGAUAGUAUCGAAGUAUUUGAAGAACUGUAGCUCAUUGCUUGAAAAGUUGAUGAAACACAAGCACGGUUGGGUGUUUAAUACUCCAGUGGAUGUUGAACGUCUUGGUUUGCAUGAUUAUUUUAUCAUCAUCUCACAGCCGAUGGACUUGGGUACUGUGAAGUCGAGGCUGAGCAAGAAUUGGUACAAAUCACCAAAGGAGUUUGCGGAGGAUGUGAGACUUACUUUUCGUAAUGCCAUGACAUAUAAUCCUAAAGGGCAAGAUGUUCAUGUAAUGGCGGAGGAGCUAUCGGCAUUAUUCGAGGAAAGAUGGGCCAUUAUAGAGUCGCAUUACAAUCAUGAGAUGAGGUAUGGCAUGGAUUAUGGGCCCGCUAUUUCUGCACCUUCACCUCUGUCUAGAAAGGCUCAUGCUUUCCGGCCACCGCCUCUUGACAUGAGAAGGAUUGAUAGAUCAGAUUCAAUAACAAAACCUCCAAAUCCCAUGAGUUUGACUCGUUCUGCUCGAACUCCUGCUCCAAAAAAGCCGAAGGCAAACGAUCCUGAUAAAAGAGACAUGACAUACUAUGAAAAGCAAAAACUUAGCACACAUCUUCAGAAUCUACCACCUGAUAAACUAGAUGCUAUUGUACAGAUCAUUAAGAAACAAAAUUCGGCACUUUCCCAACAUGAUGACGAAAUUGAAGUGGACAUUGAUAGCGUGGAUGCAGAGACUCUUUGGGAGCUUGAUAGAUAUGUUACCAACUAUAAGAAAAGUUUGAGCAAAUACAAGAGGAAGGCCGAACUUGCGAUUCAAGCUAGAGCAGAAGCUGAGCGAAUUGCCCAGCAGAAGGUAAAAUUGACAAUGUCAACGUUUAAUAUCCAUUGUCUUCUUUUGGAAAUGCUUGUUACUAAUUGAAGUUAUUCGAUGCUUCCUGUAGAGCCAAGAACCACCAGUUAUAGUUGAGGCCCCGAGAGAAAGACAAGCAGGUAUGGCCGCUUGUGGACUAUUAUUGUUGAUCUCUUUUCAUCAUUCAUCAAUUAAAUUAAUUGAAAUAUUUUGUCUGCUUGAUUCUGAGCAGAUGAAAGAAAUGAUCCCUCAUCCUUGCCUGUGCAAGGGGAAAUUCGAGUAGAUAAUGGGAGUAAGACAAGUAGUUCAAGCAGCUCAAGCAGUGAUUCUGGCUCUUCAUCUAGUGGUAUAGUAAAUAAUUAUUUAAUAGAUAUCUGUCCCAUAAUUUAUUGUUAUACAAGGUCAAUCUCGCUUAUACUUUAAUAUCUGAUAUUAAUGUGCUUUGGCAGAUUCUGAUAGUGAUAGUUCCUCAGCAUCCGGGUCUGAUGCAGGGUCACAAUGAACCUAAAUACCUCCCGUAAGGUAAAAUCACAAACUUCAAUUUUUUUAUCUCGUUAUAUGCUCUUCUUGUUGUCUUGUAUGUUUUCUUCAUCAAAUUGUCUGUGCUUCUUGCUUUUGAUUACAUAGAGGUAUAUAUGUGUUAUCUUCAAGAUGUGAGGUUGAGUGCAUUUCUAUUUUUCUAGUUCACCAGGCUCGUUAUGUGUUAUACUGCUUACUAAGCCAGUUAAGUUUACAUCUACGUAUUGGAAUUUGGAUAUUUAAAGGUUUAGCAUUUAGAUCGACAUUUAUCCUUUUAUGGCUUGUGUCAGAAUUAGGAAAUAUUUGAUGCUAGUUCUAUUGAAUUUGAUGCUUAUUCAUUUUGAAUUUUUUUUCUCUUGUUAGUUUUUAGCAUUCUUUUUUACUUUCUUUAUCUUGUGUUUUUAGCUGUUAAACAGUGUUGUUAUAGUCUCUUGUAGGUUUGUCGUUUUGAAGUAUUAAAUGUGAAGAUCUUAUGCUUUUACGGGUCUGCUUUACUGUGUACACAUUUUAUGGCAUAGCCUGUGUACACAUUUUAACUUGGUAUUGUAUAUGCUUGCAUAUAUGAAUUGUUAUUGCGCCAUGCUGAUGACAUGCGCUUUAGUUGUCCAACAUAAGUGUAAUUAGUGUUUAUCUUGUAAUAAAGAGAUUAGUGGAAGAUUGCACUGUUGUUAAAAUAUCAAACAAAUAACACCUGCAACAAAAUUCUUGAAGUAUAUUCCAUUGAAAAGCAACUAAUGGUAGUGUGUGAACUGUGAAAUGAGAGCCAUAGUUACCAAUCCCAGGUAGUGGCAUGGUGUGGCCAAUCUAAAAUACACUGUAGUGGGAUAGCAGAGAGCGGGAUUACUGCUAUUCUCUCUUCAAUGGGAAAUAACUCAUGUUUCAGGACCUAUAUAAACAGUCAUAAUACUCUAGCAAAACGUACAAGCAGAUAACAAUUAAAGUCAAGGCAAUAAAGAGCUGUUUGUUGUGGAGCUAUUUCUGUGUAGUUCGGAGGAAGAUGCAUUGCUACGUCAAUGAAGAGGAUAACAGAUAGUCAGGGAAAAAACAAACAAAAUAGAGCUUCUGGGAGGGAGGGAGAGAGAGCAACAGAGCAGAAAAAGCUAGCAGAAGAAAAGAAAAGAAAGAAGAGGGAGAGUGGGUUCCAACCUGCGCUGAAGUGAGCAGAGAGGAGUAAAGAAAAGAAAGGAGAGUGGGACUCCAACCUUCAGCGAAGUGGGCAGAGAGUGGAGUGGUUUCACCAGGAAGCAACAGUUGGUGGCCGGAAAACAAUGGCUGCUGACUGGGUAGUUGUCAAAGGCUGGGUUGUGCAACUUGUGUGUUUCAAGGACCGCCUCCAUGGAGGAAGGAUGCUGCCCUUGUGAGAAAAGGAGUGUUGGUUGGUGCUUUUUAUUCCUUUCCUUGAAGCUUGAAUGCUACAAAAACCUCAAACUACACCCAGUCACCAUCUGUAUUCUUAAAAUUGAAGGGGAUUUCAGGGUUUUUGUAUUGGUCAAAAGCCUGCUCCUCAAUAAUGCUUUGCUGCUAGUGGACAGUUGAUAACUAUGAUGGGAACAUAUUCUUGCUCUCAUACUGAUAGGUAUCCAAACACCUGAGGUGUCCUCUCUUAAAGUUAAAAUUUAGCUAUCAAGGAGAAGAACCAAACCAAUUAAAUACUCCAUUGAUCACCCCAUUAUAUUUGAUUUGGAACUUAGGCACACCACAAUACCCAAGUCUAUCAUAGCACCGCCCCUAUGAGAUGACGUCCUACCCGUUAAACUCUACAAUGCUUUAUCCGACCUUUCCAGUGAUCCCUUCCAUACCCUUUUCUGAGAUACCAGCAACCUUGAUACCAAUUGAUAAAUAUCAAAGCACUUUGAAAAUCCUCCCUUAAAAGUUAGCUAUCAAGGGUAGAACCAACCCACUUCAAUACGUUAUGGAUUCUGGAGCAUCCCAAUCACAUCUCAUAAUUCUCUGUUUAGUUUGGCCGCUGGAAGUGAAACUAACUAUUUGUGCAGGGUUUGUUAGGGAUGCAUAGUUUAAGGUUACACCGGUUGCACUUACUGUAGUACUACUUUUUUUUUUCUUUUUCAUUUUAUGUUGGUAUUUUCACUACCCUUAUUAGCUGUACACCUACUGUCAUAAUUAGAGUUUGUCAUUGAUUUUGAAAUGCUAGUUUCUUUUAUUUGUGACCAACUUACUAUACAUUCUUGAUGGUAUGUUGUUUGCUUUGCUUAUUAAAUUGUGUCUAGCACUUCUAUGUGUUCCAAUUUUAACUAGAUAUGAACAGAAGUGCAUUAGUAUAACUAUAUCGAUGGAUAUUUAAUAACAUCUUUAUCUCAUAGUUAUUUUCCGAGCCUCCAAAAGGUAUUACAAAUAGUAGCAUUUUUCCCUGUAUUACACUUUCAGAUCUGUAUACAAUACCUUUAUUUACCUGGAUGAUACAAGUAGUUUGUUUUCAUUGCUCGUCCC
rnacentral:lncRNA from 1 species